UGGAACAUCAGGCAUCUCCUCACCACUCACAUCCUCACUGAGGCUGGAAGACUGACCGUGAACAUUUCUGCCUGUAUCUCAGGAGAGAUGCUUCCUGCUUC